AUAAUUAUGGCUAAUUAACUGAGACUAAACAAGCAAUCUUUAGAGAACAAGGGCACCAACGCAGUGAUAUAUCACAUUGAAAAAUGCCAUUGUUUAAAAGGGACUCAAACUAUUAUUCUAAACAUUCUCAAGAUAUAAACUAUAGAAAUGUUAUCAUACCGGCAUGGCAGUAAUGCUUCUU